AUACGGAGGAUCCGAGCGUUAUCCGGAUUUAUUGGGUUUAAAGGGAGCGUAGGCGGAUUAUUAAGUCAGUUGUGAAAGUUUGCGGCUCAACCGUAAAAUUGCAGUUGAUACUGGUAGUCUUGAGUGCAGCAGAGGUAGACGGAAUUCGUGGUGUAGCGGUGAAAUGCUUAGAUAUCACGAAGAACUCCGAUUGCGAAGGCAGCUUACUGGACUGUAACUGACGCUGAUGCUCGAAAGUGUGGGUAUCAAACAGGAUUAGAUACCCUGGUAGUCCACACAGUAAACGAUGAAUACUCGCUGUUUGCGAUAUACAGCAAGCGGCCAAGCGAAAGCAUUAAGUAUUCCACCUGGGGAGUACGCCGGCAACGGUGAAACUCAAAUGAAUUGACGGGG
rnacentral:rRNA from 1 species